GGUUAAGCGACUAAGCGUACACGGUGGAUGCCCUGGCAGUCAGAGGCGAUGAAGGACGUGCUAAUCUGCGAAAAGCGUCGGUAAGGUGAUAUGAACCGUUACAGCCGGCGAUGUCCGAAUGGGGAAACCCAGUGCAAUUCGUUGCACUAUCGUUAACUGAAUACAUAGGUUAACGAGGCGAACCGGGGGAACUGAAACAUCUAAGUACCCCGAGGAAAAGAAAUCAACCGAGAUUCCCCCAGUAGCGGCGAGCGAACGGGGAGCAGCCCAGAGUCUGAAUCAGCUUGUGUGUUAGUGGAACGGUCUGGAAAGUCCGACGGUACAGGGUGAUAGUCCCGUACACCAAAAUGCACAGGCUGUGAACUCGAAGAGUAGGGCGGGACACGUGGUAUCCUGUCUGAAUAUGGGGGGACCAUCCUCCAAGGCUAAAUACUCCUGACUGACCGAUAGUGAACCAGUACCGUGAGGGAAAGGCGAAAAGAACCCCGGCGAGGGGAGUGAAAAAGAACCUGAAACCGUGUACGUACAAGCAGUGGGAGCACCUUCGGGUGUGACUGCGUACCUUUUGUAUAAUGGGUCAGCGACUUAUAUUCUGUAGCAAGGUUAACCGUAUAGGGGAGCCGCAGGGAAACCGAGUCUUAACUGGGCGUUAAGUUGCAGGGUAUAGACCCGAAACCCGGUGAUCUAGCCAUGGGCAGGUUGAAGGUUGGGUAACACUAACUGGAGGACCGAACCGACUAAUGUUGAAAAAUUAGCGGAUGACUUGUGGCUGGGGGUGAAAGGCCAAUCAAACCGGGAGAUAGCUGGUUCUCCCCGAAAGCUAUUUAGGUAGCGCCUCGUGAACUCAUCUUCGGGGGUAGAGCACUGUUUCGGCUAGGGGGUCAUCCCGACUUACCAACCCGAUGCAAACUACGAAUACCGAAGAAUGUUAUCACGGGAGACACACGGCGGGUGCUAACGUCCGUCGUGAAGAGGGAAACAACCCAGACCGCCAGCUAAGGUCCCAAAGUCACAGUUAAGUGGGAAACGAUGUGGGAAGGCACAGACAGCCAGGAUGUUGGCUUAGAAGCAGCCAUCAUUUAAAGAAAGCGUAAUAGCUCACUGGUCGAGUCGGCCUGCGCGGAAGAUGUAACGGGGCUAAACUGUGCACCGAAGCUGCGGCAGCGACACUUAGGUGUUGUUGGGUAGGGGAGCGUUCUGUAAGCCUGCGAAGGUGGCCUGUGAGGGUUGCUGGAGGUAUCAGAAGUGCGAAUGCUGACAUAAGUAACGAUAAUGCGGGUGAAAAGCCCGCACGCCGGAAGACCAAGGGUUCCUGUCCAACGUUAAUCGGGGCAGGGUGAGUCGACCCCUAAGGCGAGGCCGAAAGGCGUAGUCGAUGGGAAACAGGUUAAUAUUCCUGUACUUGGUGUUACUGCGAAGGGGGGACGGAGAAGGCUAUGUUAGCCGGGCGACGGUUGUCCCGGUUUAAGCAUGUAGGCGGAGGUUCCAGGUAAAUCCGGUACCUUUUAACGCUGAGGUGUGAUGACGAGGCACUACGGUGCUGAAGUAACAAAUGCCCUGCUUCCAGGAAAAGCCUCUAAGCAUCAGGUAACAUUGAAUCGUACCCCAAACCGACACAGGUGGUCAGGUAGAGAAUACCAAGGCGCUUGAGAGAACUCGGGUGAAGGAACUAGGCAAAAUGGUGCCGUAACUUCGGGAGAAGGCACGCUGAUAUGUAGGUGAAGCCCCUGCGGGUGGAGCUGAAAUCAGUCGAAGAUACCAGCUGGCUGCAACUGUUUAUUAAAAACACAGCACUGUGCAAACACGAAAGUGGACGUAUACGGUGUGACGCCUGCCCGGUGCCGGAAGGUUAAUUGAUGGGGUUAUCCGUAAGGAGAAGCUCUUGAUCGAAGCCCCGGUAAACGGCGGCCGUAACUAUAACGGUCCUAAGGUAGCGAAAUUCCUUGUCGGGUAAGUUCCGACCUGCACGAAUGGCGUAAUGAUGGCCAGGCUGUCUCCACCCGAGACUCAGUGAAAUUGAACUCGCUGUGAAGAUGCAGUGUACCCGCGGCAAGACGGAAAGACCCCGUGAACCUUUACUAUAGCUUGACACUGAACAUUGAGCCUUGAUGUGUAGGAUAGGUGGGAGGCUUUGAAGCGUGGACGCCAGUCUGCGUGGAGCCAACCUUGAAAUACCACCCUUUAAUGUUUGAUGUUCUAACGUUGGCCCCUAAUCGGGGUUGCGGACAGUGUCUGGUGGGUAGUUUGACUGGGGCGGUCUCCUCCCAAAGAGUAACGGAGGAGCACGAAGGUUAGCUAAUCCUGGUCGGACAUCAGGAGGUUAGUGCAAUGGCAUAAGCUAGCUUGACUGCGAGCGUGACGGCGCGAGCAGGUGCGAAAGCAGGUCAUAGUGAUCCGGUGGUUCUGAAUGGAAGGGCCAUCGCUCAACGGAUAAAAGGUACUCCGGGGAUAACAGGCUGAUACCGCCCAAGAGUUCAUAUCGACGGCGGUGUUUGGCACCUCGAUGUCGGCUCAUCACAUCCUGGGGCUGAAGUAGGUCCCAAGGGUAUGGCUGUUCGCCAUUUAAAGUGGUACGCGAGCUGGGUUUAGAACGUCGUGAGACAGUUCGGUCCCUAUCUGCCGUGGGCGCUGGAGAAUUGAGGGGGGCUGCUCCUAGUACGAGAGGACCGGAGUGGACGCAUCACUGGUGUUCGGGUUGUCAUGCCAAUGGCAUUGCCCGGUAGCUAAAUGCGGAAGAGAUAAGUGCUGAAAGCAUCUAAGCACGAAACUUGCCCCGAGAUGAGUUCUCCCUGAGACUUUAAGUCUCCUGAAGGAACGUUAAAGACGAUGACGUUGAUAGGUCGGGUGUGUAAGCGUAGCGAUACGUUGAGCUAACCGAUACUAAUGAACCGUGAGGCUUAACCUU
rnacentral:rRNA from 1 species